UGGGGAAUCUUGCGCAAUGCGCGAAAGCGUGACGCAGCAACACCGCGUGAGGGAAGACGGCCUUAGGGUUGUAAACCUCUUUCAGAUGGGACGAAGGUUGUCCGGUGAAUAGCCGAGAUAAUUGACGGUACCGUCAGAAGAAGCUCCGGCUAACUACGUGCCAGCAGCCGCGGUAAUACGUAGGGAGCGAGCGUUGUCCGGAAUCAUUGGGCGUAAAGAGCACGUAGGUGGAUCAAUUAGUCUGCUGUGAAAGUCGAAGGCUCAACCUUCGAAAGCCGGUGGAUACUGUUGAUCUAGAGUACGGAAGAGGCGAGUGGAAUUCCUGGUGUAGCGGUGGAAUGCGCAGAUAUCAGGAGGAACACCAAUAGCGAAGGCAGCUCGCUGGGACGUUACUGACACUGAGGUGCGAAAGCGUGGGGAGCAAACA
rnacentral:rRNA from 1 species